rnacentral:rRNA from 1 species
GAUGAACGCUGGCGGCGUGCCUAAUACAUGCAAGUCGAGCGAACAGACGAGGAGCUUGCUCCUCUGACGUUAGCGGCGGACGGGUGAGUAACACGUGGAUAACCUACCUAUAAGACUGGGAUAACUUCGGGACUCCGGAGCUAAUACCGGAUAAUAUAUUGAACCGCAUGGUUCAAUAGUGAAAGACGGUUUUGCUGUCACUUAUAGAUGGAUCCGCGCCGCAUUAGCUAGUUGGUAAGGUAACGGCUUACCAAGGCAACGAUGCGUAGCCGACGUGAGAGGGUGAUCGGCCACACUGGAACUGAGACAGGGUCAAGACUCCUACGGGAGGCAGCAGUAGGGAAUCUUCCGCAAUGGGCGAAAGCCUGACGGAGCAGCGCCGCGUGAGUGAUGAAGGUCUUCGGAUCGUAAAACUCUGUUAUUAGGGAAGAACAAAUGUGUAAGUAACUAUGCACGUCUUGACGGUACCUAAUCAGAAAGCCCCGGCUAACUACGUG